rnacentral:rRNA from 1 species
GAUGAACGCUAGCGGCAGGCUUAACACAUGCAAGUCGAGGGGCAGCACGUAGGUAGCAAUACUUAUGGUGGCGACCGGCGCAAGGGUGCGUAACACGUGAGCAACAUGCCCGUAUCAGGGGGAUAACCCAUGGAAACGUGGACUAAACCUCCAUAGGAUCGGAGAGAGGCAUCUCUUUCUGAUUAAACCCGGCGACGGAGGAUACGGAUUGGCUCGCGGGGCAUUAGCUGGAUGGUAGGGUAAUGGCCUACCAUGGCGACGAUGCUUAGGGGUUCUGAGAGGAAGGUCCCCCACACUGGAACUGAGACACGGUCCAGACUCCUACGGGAGGCAGCAGUGAGGAAUAUUGGACAAUGGAUGGAAAUCUGAUCCAGCCAUGCCGCGUGCAGGAAGGCGGUCCUAUGGAUUGUAAACUGCUUUUGUACGGGAGCAAUAAUUUCUACGGGGUAGGGAGAUGAGAGUACCGUACGAAUCAGCAUCGGCUAACUCCGUGCCAGCAGCCGCGGUAAUACGGAGGAUGCGAGCGUUAUCCGGAUUUAUUGGUUUUAAGGGUGCGUAGGCUGUAAUUUAGUCAGUGGUGAAAUGUACGGGCUUAACCGGUGAUAUGCCAUUGAUACUGGAUUGCUGGAAUACGGAUGCGGUAUGCGGAAUGUGUAGUGUAGCGGUGAAAUGCAUAGAUAUUACACAGAACACCGAUUGCGAAGGCAGCAUACCAAGGCGGGAUUGACGCUGAAGCACGAAAGUGUGGGGAUCGAACAGGAUUAGAUACCCCGGUAGUCCACACAGUAAACGAUGAUAACCAGCUGUCGGCGAUAGAAUGUCGGUAGUGAAGCGAAAGCGAUAAGUUAUCCACCUGGGGAGUACGACCGCAAGGUUGAAACUCAAAGGAAUUGACGGGGGCCCGCACAAGCGGAGGAACAUGUGGUUUAAUUCGAUGAUACGCGAGGAACCUUACCCGGGCUCGAACGGUUCAAGACAGGGAGCAGAGAUGUUCCUGCUAAUUAAAUUAGGGUGGACCGAGGUGCUGCAUGGUUGUCGUCAGCUCGUGCCGUGAGGUGUCGGCUCAAGUGCCAUAACGAGCGCAACCCCUGUUGCCAGUUACCAGCGAAUAAAGUCGGGGACUCUGGCGAGACUGCCACCGUAAGGUGCGAGGAAGGGGGGGAUGACGUCAAAUCAGCACGGCCCUUACGUCCGGGGCGACACACGUGUUACAAUGGGUACUACAGAGGGGAGCUACUUAGCGAUAAGGUGCGAAUCUGGAAAAGUACUCUCAGUUCGGAUUGGAGUCUGCAACCCGACUCUAUGAAGUUGGAUUCGCUAGUAAUCGCGCAUCAGCCAUGGCGCGGUGAAUACGUUCCCGGGCCU